rfam:Capsella rubella cultivar Monte Gargano unplaced genomic scaffold scaffold_3, whole genome shotgun sequence.
AGCGGUGAAGAUAAAACAAAUAAAGUGGCGGCUUGACCGUCACUGUCGUCCUGAUCAUCCGUGACGAUAGCAAGUGCCGUCUGAGCU